rnacentral:misc_RNA from 1 species
GGAUGGAUCAUUAACAUUAUAUAUUCUUCAUAUAUAAACUAUCUCAACUGUUUAAGUUUGUUAUUCUUUUUUUAAAAGUUUAACAUAUCUUUUUAUAAACUCUUAAUAAUCUAUUACUAAAUAUUUAUUUCCAUUCUUUACUGAAUGAAAAUUUAAAAAUAUAAACAUUGAAACAACUUUUAACAAUGGAUAUCUUGGUUCUCGCAUGGAUGAAGAACGCAGCGAAAUGCGAUAAGUAAUGUGAAUUGCAGGAAUCAGUGAAUCAUCAAAUCUUUGAACGCAUAUUGCGCCUAGGGUUAUCCUUAGGCAUGCUUGUUUGAGUGUCACUUUCUUAUUCAUACUAACUUAUAAUAUCUUAUAAGUAUACAGUGUGGACAUUGGUUUUCACAAUUGUAUAAUUGUGUUAACUUAAAACAAAGUACAGUGAUAGUUUCUUUGAAGUUAAAGCGAUAUGAAAAUGUAGUGAGUUGUGCAAACAAAUUACUCUUUUCUAGUUUAAACAUCAGAAACCAUCAUAAACUGUAGAAAGUGUAAAUCAAUUUCGGUUGAUAAUAAAUAACAACUAAAAUUCUGACCUCAAAUCAAGUAGCAUUACCCGCUGAAUUUAAGCAUAUAACUAAGCGGAGGAGAAGAAACUAACAAGGAUUCCCCCAGUAACAGCGAGUGAAGAGGGAAAAGCUCAAAGUUAAAAUCAGGGCGGGACUUCCCGUUCAGAAUUGUAGCUUCAACGUUUGAUAUGACAGAGAUCACACUUGGUAUAAGUCCUUUGGAAAGAGGCGUCAAAGAGGGUGACAACCCCGUGUUAUGACUAAGUGUUGAAAAGGAUUUCAAUAGUGCUUAUUAAACGACUGAGUCGAGUUGUUUGGGAUUGCAGCUCAAAAUAGGUGGUAAACUUCAUCUAAAGCUAAAUACCGGCGAGAGACCGAUAGCGAAGAAGUACCGUGAGGGAAAGAUGAAAAGAACUUUGAAAAGAGAGUUAAAAGUGCUUGAAAUUGUUAAAAGGGAAGCGGUUGGAACUAGUGAAGCCUGUCUGGAGGUCCUUCUAGGAUUCGUCUUAGGGGUAUUCUGCGGAUGGGAGGGCCAACAUCAGUUAGGCCUGCGAUAAAAGACUCUGAGGGAGGUAGGAAGUACAUGUUCUUCGGAGUGUGUAUUUCCUUUAAAACUCGGGGAUUCGAUCGUGGGUUUGACUGAGGAAUUAAUUACUCGCCUCUUUCGAGGGGCAAGACAACUUUGGAUCGUUUUGUGGUAGGUGUCUAGGACUGGAAGCCAGUACUAGGUGUCUAUUGUGAUACGUGUUUGAAGAGUUCAUUAGAGUAAUCAAGAUGUUGGCAUAAAUGGGUUCAACCGACCCGUCUCGAAACACGGACCAAGGAGUCUAACGUAUGUGCGAGCAGUAAAGUGGAAAACUUUAAUGCGUAAUGAGAGUGAAGGAGGCUUUAUGUCUCUGAGAUGGGAAAGGGAGUUAGAAAUAACGAACUGGCACCAUCGACCUAUCAGGAUUUUUUUGAAAGAUUUGAGUAAGAGUACAUCUGUUGGGACCCGAAAGGUUGUGAACUAUGGGUGGCUAGGAUGAAGCCAGAGGAAACUCUGGUGGAGGUCCGAAGGAAUACUGACGUGCAAAUCGUUUCCCAGAGUUGCCUAUAGGGGCGAAAGACUAAUCGAACAGCCUAGUAGCUGGUUCCCUC